AAUUCAUUAAUGAAGUUGCAACCAUUGGACUGAUCCACCACGCAAAUAUCGUUCGUCUCUUGGGCUUUUGCUCCGAAGGAACAAGACGGGCUCUGAUUUAUGAAUAUAUGCCUAAUGAGUCACUGGAAAAAUACAUAUUCUCACAUGUUUCUAAUACUUCUCAACAACUCCUAGCACCCAUCAGAAUGCUAGAUAUUGCUUUAGGCAUUGCCCGAGGAAUGGAGUACCUGCAUCAAGGCUGCAACCAGCGCAUUCUCCACUUUGACAUCAAGCCACACAACAUCUUGUUGGACUACAACUUCAACCCGAAGAUCUCAGACUUUGGCCUUGCCAAGGUGUGUGCAAGGGACCAGAGCAUCAUUACAUUAACUGCAGCAAGAGGCACCAUGGGAUACAUCGCACCAGAGCUAUACUCUCGAAACUUUGGAGGGGUGUCUUACAAGUCAGAUGUGUACAGUUUUGGCAUGCUGGUGUUAGAAAUGGUGAGUGGAAGGAGGAACUCAGACCCAAGUGUUGAGGGCCAGAAUGAGGUGUACCUCCCAGAGUGGAUUUAUGAGAAAAUAACCACUGAGCAAGAAUGGGAGCUUACUUUGGAAAUGGCAGCACAAGACAAAGAAAAGAUGAGGCAGCUGACUAUUGUGGCCCUCUGGUGUAUCCAAUGGAACCCAAAGAAUCGGCCUUCAAUGACAAAGGUGGUAAACAUGUUAACGGGGAGGUUGCAGAACCUGCAAAUUCCUCCUAAGCCCUUUGUGUCAUCUGAAAAUCAUCCAACAACAUAGCACAGCAAUGCAUAGCACUAGGAUGCACUAUAUUUCCAUAUUUCCACUCUAUUAGCACUUGAUUGUAUGAAUAAAUCGUCUGUCCCAUGUAACACUGUACUACUAGGUAUAAGCAAGAACAUAUGAGAACCACAUCAAACUUUAUUUGGGUUGAUACAGUAGUUUAUUGCUUACCUUGUUGUAAUGUUCGGAUGAUUUAUCUCCACUUGAGUAUUUCCUGCAGUGCAUUGCUCCUCACUGGGCUCCUCAGGGAACAUGAUUGCGCCCUUUGAUUUGAUUGCCAAGUCCAUUGUGGUGGAAUAUGUUUCGAUCUUCCCCCUCUAGUAGCACCUGCCAGUCAUCUCCAUGUAAUAGUACUAGUAGCUAUCUGCAGCAUAUCUGAGUCAAAUGGAGCUAUAUUUUUUGCAUUUUGACAGUUUAGAAUGCAUGGAGCUUUAUUCCGCGGUUCAGUAUUUUCUACAGUGCAUUCCUCAUCAGUACUGGCAUUUCCUGCCGUGAUUUUAUCCACUGUGUAGUUCCUCAUCAGUAAUAGUAUUUUCUACAGUACAUUCCUCAUCAGUAGUUAUGAAGAUGUGAUUUCCCUGAUUUUAAGAAGAUAGCAAGACGGUGCUAGUGUUUCCUACUGUGAUUUUAUCCCUGCUUCCCUCGUACAUACUCCAUUGUGUAGUGUAGUGUGUCAGCCAUUUCCUUGUCCAAAUCACAAUACAAGAGAUGCGCACAUCCCCUGCUUAUUAUUCUAGAAAAAAUAAAAGAGGAUCCUGAAACUAAUCAUGCCACUGCACAAAAAUAAAAGAAAAGGCAGAGCAAACACAAAGGGAUUACUCACCAUGGCAGAGAGCUCCUCCCGCUGCCCUUUAGUCCCUCGCCAGAGCAGAGCAGAGGAUUGGGGGCGAUUCGCUGAGACGAGAGGGAAGACGAGGGAGCUGGCUUAGACGCCAGCCAAUUUGAACGGGAUCUGCCCGGAAGGUGCUACGGCCGGCAGAAGCACGCCGGGGGAAUCGCUCGCCGGC
rnacentral:lncRNA from 1 species